GAUGAAGAACGUAGUGAAAUGCGAUAAGUAAUGUGAAUUGCAGAAUUCAGUGAAUCAUCGAAUCUUUGAACGCACAUUGCGCCCGUCAGUAUUCUGGCGGGCAUGCCUGUUCGAGCGUCAUUACGCCCCUCAAGUCCCCUGUGGACUUGGUGUUGGGGAUCGGCGAGGCUGGUUUUCCAGCACAGCCGUCCCUUAAAUUAAUUGGCGGUCUCGCCGUGGCCCUCCUCUGCGCAGUAGUAAAACACUCGCAACAGGAGCCCGGCGCGGUCCACUGCCGUAAAACCCCCCAACUUUUUAUAGUUGACCUCGAAUCAGGUAGGACUACCCGCUGAACUUAAGCAUAUCAAUAGCGGAGGA
rnacentral:misc_RNA from 1 species